UGACAGCCCUUGGUAUACUGGUUCUCCUC
rnacentral:piRNA from 1 species